CAUACAAUCAUUCAUUCUUCUUUUAUUGUCUUCUUUGACCGGCCAUGUGGUUAAAAUGCAAGUCAACAAUUUCUUGGAACCUUUACCGCCAGCUUACUUGACUUUUCUUCCCCAUUUCACUAUUUUCUCAUCUUUUCUCUUCAUUUUCUUUGUCAUGGACGGCUUAUCCAUGAAUUCAUGACUUUUGACUUAUUUUCUCCACUUAUUUUAUGCACUAAAUCACAUGACAAAGACUUUAUCACCUUCC
rnacentral:lncRNA from 1 species